AUAAAUAACACACAAAUUAGUAAAGUCAAGUUUUUGUUUGAAACACAGUAAAACAGCGCGCUUUUUUCAAAAACUGGUGUGAUUCGUCCGUGGAAUUGGACAUUGAAUCUCAAAAUGAUCAUAAUAUAUUUUUUGUUUGUUUUAAACGCGAUCCCCUGAUAGAAUAGAAUAGCCAUAGAAUUGCUCUGUCAUAUUUUUUUGCUAAUUAACACCCGAGUGUUUUUUGCCCAGUUAUAUUUUUGCUUAUUUUUAUCACCCGAUGAGUGUUUCUGUCCCGUCAAAUUUUGCCUUUUUUCGCUAAUUGUUCACUCGGUUAUUUCCUCCCUCUGAUUGAUGUUGCGCUAUAUCCUUCGAGGUUCACGUGGGUAAAGGUCAGUUAUUAAGAAACUCAUAAAUAAUCAUAUAGAACCAAAUUAAUUCCGGCCCGCUGUAGACUUAUAUCAACAUUGUGAAUCAAGCCCUUAAAUGAUACAAACUUUUGCAUUUUGCUUUUAUUGUUGUCAUUCUUCUGACAGGUAUUGAGAUUAGUUGAUCGAAGUGUUACCUGGAAUGCCGAGCCUACGACGCUCCCCGUGGAGAUCGAUGCUCAAAAAGCAUCGAUCUCCACAGGGGCCGGGGUCAAAAAUUCCGUUGUUAAGAGCGUGCGGCUUGUUAUGACACUAUCUUACGUUCUGUAAUCAACAUCACCUAAUCAGAAUCCGCUAUUUUGCAUACGUCAUUCACCCCUUGCUGGCUGCCUGGGAUGUCGCCGACUUGUACUGGUUCUCGUUGGAUUGUACCGGUUGCAUUUUCUUAGCGAAUCUCCGUGAUUUUAGGGAAUUUUAUCGAAUUUUAGUGAUCAAAUCAAAAUGAUCUCCAAGAAAUUUGUUGUUGUGGAGUGGCUGAACAACGCAGAGGAUCGUUGCGAGUUAACAGUUCUCAGGGGAAGUGAAGUUUUGCGCCAGGGUGGUUUGGUAUCGGUGGUAUUCAUUGCAUUGCAGCAGAUAACACACCAAGACUUUACGAGGCAGAAGUGUUGCAAAACUUCGACUCACAGCGCAAGGCAAGCAGUUUGAAAACGAGCUGCUUGAGGGAGGCAACGACAGCGUUGACCGAGGUUUACAAAGAUGUUCCUGCAGAGGAUCAGCCCAGUCCAGUGUCACAACAAAAGCAGAAAAUUAAAUAUCUGUCAAAGCCCCUGGAAGGGGUGAAGAGGCUCCUGUCAGACCUCUUUACCGAAGAAGAGCUCAUGCGGUGCACACUGAAGGGGAAGGGAAGGACCAGCAACAAGAUGCAGAUAAUUUAUGGUGCAAUGAGGGGAAAUUACGGAAUGACUGAUGAGAAAAUGGACCAGGAGAAGAUUAGAUUAGAAAUCAGCAAAAAUCCUUAAAAGACAAAACCAAAAAAGUCUUCAGUAAAGCUAAGUGAAAUGUCCAUUGUUGGUGUAAAAUGUCCGCUUAAGUAGGUUUUUUAAUCAUAGAGAUAUUUUAGCUUGCCUUAUAUACCAACUUUUUGUCGAAUUUGGUUUUGUCUUUUAACGAUUUUUGCUGAUUUCUAUAACGUUAUAGAAGUCACUGUUCACGUUGUAUCCGAAAAUUAUAAAGUUGAUUAUCAAAUUUUGAGAUAAUUGUAAAUUUGUUCUGUAUUCUAAAAAUAAAAUUAUUUGCUGGAAAAUAUUGCUAGCUAUUUGUAAUAAAUUACCGGAUAUCCAA